UACGAGUUUAAAAUUGCCUAUCAGUAGGUGUCGUUAUCAUUAUCGAGGUGUGGCUUCGAUAUCGAUGAAGGUACUCGGAACCAGGUUUUUCCAUCAGUCGCCUCAGGUAUAUAUAAGACCCCACGCCUAACUAAAUGUUUGCUAGUGCUCUGAUUGCCUUUCGUACGAAACUUAUUUUCCAAUGUCCACGCAGUUCUUGCGAGGACGUGAAACGUGAAACGUAAACCAGUGAUAAAGAAUAUUUCACGUUAGUCUAAAGAAUACACGUUUAAUGGCGUCACGGAUAAGCUUUCUCGAGUGCCGGUGAAGUUAAUCAGUGGAACGUUAGAAUUGAUCUCGAAAGUUGCCCUUAAUUAUUGUCGAACAGCUGUUGUACUCUAUAUAACAUCUCUGGCUCACAGAAUGAUCGCUUGCGCGACAGGUUGGAGGAGGAAAAUCCAAAGCGAAGAGUAUCGAACCAUUUUUUCACCAGAGUCUUCUAUUCAUUUGUUCUUCUAUUACAUCGAAGUACGCACCAUUCGAUAAAAUCUUUGCAAAUUUACCUAUAAAAAUUGAAUCUAAAUUUUCUUUCAAUAUUUUUUUUUGUACUAUUUGCAUACCGUGUGCAUUUCGCAGUUUCUUGCACAUUCAAAUUUCCUAUAAAUGCUCUCUGUGCUCUCUUGGAACGUGUGACUAACGGAAAAUUAAAGAUUGUACGGUUUUUCUUUACGAUUGUGUCGUAAGUUUAAAAGGUUAGGUAUCGCUUUAGAUUACGAAGCUACGCGGAUAUCUUCGUGGGAAGGCUCUCGGUGACAGUGAAGAUCUACGCACGGACUGUAUCGGCAUUGCGCUAUCUGCAUGACUUGUAGUUGGAAGUGAGGAUCUAGGCAGUGAGCAUUAACGCUCUUGAUAACUUGUCAGAUCUAACUCUUCCAGCUCAAGGUCCUGCUGAUUAUCAACCUUCCACGGUGAACGAACGUUUCGACUCCAAAAUCGAGUGACCGAAUCAUUUUACGUAGAAUCGUAAGUCAAACGGGCAAACAUUUUGGACUUUGCUCAAAUUUCGAGUGUGUCGUAGCACCUGCACGUGUAUCGAAGGAUCUUUCAAAAUUACGAAUGUAACAAUUUAGCAAACAGCAAAAUUCAAAAAUGUGGAGAGAACUGAGUAAAUACAGUCCCAUUUAGAAAUAUGAAAAUCGUAAUGUAAAAAUAAUGCAUUACUCAUUACAAAAGAAAAUACGUUCUCAUUACCCAUUUUUUUUUUUUUUAUACUAUGCUAUACUAUACUAUGCUUCUAGCACUGUUUUCCAACUGUAAGAUUCGCAAUACUCCAAAUUUUGAGAAAUUCGUGUUUAAAUGUCGCUAAGGAGUAAGAACAUAUCAAAAUCUGAUCAAGAUCCAAAAUGUUGGUUCGUUUGAUAUCGGACUUGGCGUGGAAUGACUCAAGCUUUACGAUACCGCAGAGGGAUCAUGGUUCAAGUGGAGAAGUGGUCUCUACGCUUUGAAUUCAAGUGAGAUUCAACUCCUCCAACUUACUCCAGAACCCUCAUAUUCUUCGUGGCUCGUAUACUCGUAUCAGAUAAAUAUCUUUACGGUGCGGAUAGUAUAUCACGUACACAUUCGUGGACUCGU